AAUAAUAAUAGCUCAUAUGGCUUUCCUAAAACACGGGUAUUUAAUUGUUUCUGUGAAUCAUCUCAUCUCCAGCACAUGCAUUGUGUUGUUGUUGGUUUCUUAGCUGUACUCUAUAUUAGCUGUAGACACAGCUGGUAUAGUGCGCUGAAUACGAUUUGUGUGACGUUGCUCCAGCGCCUGCUUCAGCACAUUAAUGUUUCAUAUUUUUCCCAGGCUGGAUUGAAAGGGUUGUUCAAGGAGAGAGAGAGAGAUAGAGAGAGAGACAGUGGGGCUUGAUAUAAAGAGACGAAGCCUGUCACUACAGAUGAGAAAAAGAAAAAGAAAGAAAAAACAUCCACUAAUGUUAUUUUGCUGUGGGGCUACGAGUGUUUCACAGCAGCAGUUAUGCGUGAUCAAUCUAGGAAACGUACACCGCUGCAUGCGAGGCGAUAGCUCGAUAGCGAGCACUAAAUGUGAUGUAUUGUACAAAGACAGUGAGAAAUUCGUGUUCGGCCUCAAACCAUUGGGCACGACUAUGGGAAGUGGAAAACCUGCUUGUUUUCUCGCGCGAUUGUCCCCCUGCUCGUAUUCCCACAUCUGCACUCCAGCUCUCAUGUUCUGGGGCUGGAAAUGAUGGGAGUUUUUUUCUUUUUUCUUUUUUUUCACUUUUGCAGGGAAGCGAUUAUGCUGCAAGUCUACUGCACUCAGUAUUAGUGAAUUUGUCAAAUGUGGCUUUUGGAGAAGACCAACUUUUUGGAAAGUGGUCUGCCUGCCUUCCCUCAUGUGGGCUUUGCUCUGCUGUGCUACAGCAGAGGUUUACCUAAGCUAAAGUAUGCAGUUAUUAUGAAUCCAGACUGUUUUCGUGCGAAUAAAUAAAUAAGAUUUGUUAGGCAAUGCUGACGUUGGCAUUUUUCCUCCUCGUGCAUAUCAUCGAUUGCUUAUAAGGUCGAGAUUUUGUAAUCUCUCUGAGGUAUAAAGUUUGAGAGCAAGAGGGUUGUCAAACACCACCCAAAAGUUGGAUGUCUAUUUAUAUUUUGGUGCAAUGGACAGGAACGAAAUCCUACAUUUCGUUUCCUUUCGCUUUUAUUUUGUCUUAAGAGCUCAGUGCUUCUGGCUGAUGAAGAUGAAUAAGAGUAUAUGCAAGCUCAUGCUGCUUCUGUUUAUAUUUGUCAGAGCCUAAUUGUUCGCAUUAGACAAACAGAAUAUUACUAAAGCAAGCCUGGCUCACCAUGUAGACUGGUUUUAUGAAGCAAGCUGGGAGUGAAACAGCCGUAAGACCACGUAGAGCACAGACGUUUUUGAUUGAUUACCCCAAAGGACCAGAGACAAUAGCUCUUUGACGGCUCUUGUUUUGUUUUUUUCCCUUCAAUGUUUCUCAAGUUGAGGGUUUUUGAAUUGAAAAAUAGUCGCUUAGUCUCGAUCAGGAACGAGAGUAGAGAUACCCAAGGGGAUUCCACGGAGCUUUUGUGUGGUAACACAAAGCAUGUAAAUCGACAAUGUUUAAAUUCAGCAAGUCACCCAGCAGAUAUCUGAAUGUGUGUGAUGUGAAUGCAGGCCUAACGUCAUGCAUCAAAUUCCCUUUAGCUCCAUAAAAUAUGACAAGAAAGAACAACACAAUUAAAGGGCGAGAGGAACCUUCUCAGUGUUAUAUAACGUUUCUACUAAAUUGUUGACCAAUGCAUUGAGCAGAAGCUCCAAGCACUUUCAUGUUCAGCAAUAAUGAGAUCAAAAUCCCCGAAGAUCUCGUUUUUUCUGUUGCAUUCUAAGCAGCGCGCUUUCUAUUGAGAUUUCCAUUUGUUAGACUAGAGGCUAUAUAAAGCAAUAGUUGCUAAGGACUGAAUUCGUGCCAUGUGUUACUAAUUAACAAACCAAGAUUUAUCCAUAAAGGAACAUGAAUCAUAUAGCCUACAUAGGCUCACAAGAAGAACGAGCUAUUCUGGUCUCUAUUAGAUUUGCACUGAUAAGCCUGCAUGCUCAUAUUUUAGCCCUCACAUCUUCACUGGGUUUUGUUCGGAGAUUUCCCUCUCUUUUUUUCUUUCUUUUUUGUCAGUCAUCGCUUACGCGACAGUUUUUACCCCAGCAAUCGAAAGGAACUGAGCACCAAACGCCUUCCUAUAGGAAACAAAUCAUCUCUGUGGGUUGAGGAUGUUUAAUGGUCUCUCUGGACUUGGUAUGUCAGAAAUAUUAGCUUAGUUGCGCUUGGCUGAGAGACGAGUGUUUAUCUGACACUUUUUGGCUGUAUAGUCAUAUUUUAUGGGUUUUGAUGUUUCCUGCUUGGGGCUGUGGGCUGGAAAACUUAUGCAAAGCCUCUGAAGGUGAACAGAAACGUUUUCAAGUUGCUGGCACACCACACACAAAAAAGUUACAAAACUUACAUACCUAUAAUUGUGCCUUUCUAUUUUUCAAACGAAAUUUAAAAUUCACUUCACGUUGCAUGUGGAACUGGAAAUACAGCAGCUUUGCUCAACAUAUAUUUUGGUCUUGUUUUGUCUGUCUGUCCAACUGCGUGUUUUAUUUUUGUGCAUGCUUAAAGCUCAAACGCUAAAACUAUCUAUCUAUCCAUCCAUCCAUCCAUCCAUCCAUCUACCCAUUUCUCUAUCUGGAUGCCCAUUUCUCUGUAUAAAUAUAUAUCCGUAAAAAUCCCAACUUCAAUGUUUCAAUCUAUCGCGUGUGUUCAAAUUAAGAGCAAGGUCAAUGCAAGCAAGAACAACGAUAACAACACUGAUCAUUAUCGAUGUGUGCUGGUUUCUGUUGUGAACUUAUUUCGCAUAAAACGUGCCUGUUUGCACCCUGAGACCAUAUGCAGGCAACCUGGGGUGACGCUGCAUUUACUGUUAACAUCCUCUCUGAUCACUGCGUAAUUCUCCUUCCGCGGCGGAGCUUUAAGCCAUGGAUCAAAUCCAACACAACAGGAUAUAAAAUAUCCCCAGUUGUGAACGUAACAUAAGGCGACGCCUCAACAUGCAUGUGUGCACGCUUGUGUGUGUGUGUGUGUGUGUGUGGUCGGGCCUGGUGUGAGGGAGGCAGGCGAGAAAGCCCAGAACGCUGUGUAAGCGAUCCCUUUGUGUUGAUUUAGGAAGACGUUUGCUGUAUAUAACGUUCAAGGCUGAUAAUAUCAUUGCCUGGUCAGAUAAAUAAAGCAGUGGCCAAACCAUCGGGUCAGCUAUCGAUCCCUUCUGCCAGCUGAGAGAAAGGGGAAUGAGACGACACGGACGAGGAGGAGGAGGAUGAGAGAGAGAGACAGAGAGAGAGAGAAGAGGAGUGAAGAGAAGAGGUGAGAAGAGGGAAGGAGGAGGGGGUCUUAUUAGCAUUCCUAACCCAUGGACCACCACUGACAACUGAAAGAGAUAUCUAACUCAACACCAUGCAUUUUCUUCUUUACUCUUAGCCAUCAUUUCUGCCAACACAUGUAGGCAGCUUUUUAAUGGUAGUCAGUCAGCACAUGUUAACAGAGUUACACUGCAUUUAUAUUGACAACUUGGGCAACAUCAUGUUCGAGCUGUUUACUCGUGUAAACAGACUAUUUAUAGCUGGGCUACCCCUACCCCCAUAAUCACACACUUUGACAAUUCAUACCACGAGCUAUGUUUGCUGAUUUGUUCAUUCAGUUUUACACAAAUAAAGUGUUCACCAGUUUAAAAAAAAUUAAAACAAAUUACAAAUGCACUUGUUGAUCUGACACAAUAAAAUUGCAUUAUUUAAAGCGACCAUUAAGCAAUGUAAACACACCUCUUUAGUGCUGGAAAAAUACGGGUGGAUUAAUAAGCGGCAGCACUUGUACAGACUGAGUAAACAAUUGUGAACAACUCUCAAAAUAUUUUGAGACAUGAUUCCUCUUUGGUGCACGUGAGAAUUCUUUGGGAAUGCUUGGGGAAUACACAACCCAAUACGCGCGCAAAAUCGUGUCCAACAAUGACAGCUGUUUAUCACUUAGUGAGUUCUUUCCAAGUUUUUUUUUUUUUUUUAGUUUUUUUCUCCUCCUCCUCCUCCUCCUCCUUCUCCUCCUCCUCCUCCCCACCCCGUCUCUAUCUUGCUUUGUUGUUUUAAAAUAUGCAUGUCUCUCCGGAAUGCCAGUCACGAGUCCAAACUUUGCGUCCAACCUCCCACAUGAAAUGAUCCCCCCUUAAAGGGGGCUCAAUAUGUCUCAAUCUGCACUGCACUUCACUCAAAGCGUUGGGCUAUGGAGGGACGGGGGGCUGCGAAAUGCACGCCUGAGACCGACGGAGCUUGGCUCGGACGUUCAGCUAACGACGCCGUUUCUUCCUUCAACUUCUUCUUCCUGAACUCUUCAUGCGUUCUUCCUUCCCUGAGCAGGACCACGGCGACCAUCAUCACGGAGGUCCAGCAAAAAAAGAAGAGUGAUCAAUGGCGGAGGCUUACUUUUUGUUACCUUGAACCUACGGUGAACUCCUGAGCGGCGAAAGCCUCUCGCACUGAUCCGCACGGCUACGGGGUCAGCAACAGUGCGUCUCCAAGCAGAUAUGCAAAUGGCGCAGGGCCCCGCGGCGACCCCUGCAGGAGCUCCACCCCUGCCGGCCACAUCACCUCGGACGAGCGCUCGCCAGCGUGCUCCGCUAAUAGGCUUUUAUUACACCGCCGUGCCAUCUCCUAAUUGCCAAGAUGUGUCGAAUGUAAUCAAUAGUGUAUGGGUGGGUUACAACAGCUCAUACAGCGCAUACGGCUCAUACAGUCAGAACGCAGACGCACCGUCAUGUGCAGUCAGGCCACAAAUUCAAUUAAAGCCCUUCAAAAAAAAAAAA